rnacentral:rRNA from 1 species
UACGUAGGUGGCAAGCGUUGUCCGGAUUUACUGGGCGUAAAGGGUGCGUAGGCGGAUAUUUAAGUGGGAUGUGAAAUACCCGGGCUCAACUUGGGUGCUGCAUUCCAAACUGGAUAUCUAGAGUGCAGGAGAGGUAAGCGGAAUUCCUGGUGUAGCGGUGAAAUGCGUAGAUAUCAGGAGGAACACCUGUGGUGUAGACAGCUUACUGGACCAUUUCUGACGCUGAGACACGAAAGCGUGGGGAGCAAACAGG